rnacentral:rRNA from 1 species
UGCCGAAGCAACUAGCCCUNAAAAUGGAUGGCGCUGUAGCGUCGUGCCUAUACUCGACCGUCAACGGCACAGUGGGCGGCCCCCUCGCGGGGGUCGGGCCGUUACGCCUUGACGAGUAGGAGGGUCGCGGCGGUGGGCACUGAAGGGUCAUGGCGUGAGCCGGCCUGGAGCCGCCGUCGGCGCAGAUCUUGGUGGUAGUAGCAAAUACUCCAGCGAGGACCUGGAGGACUGACGUGGAGAAGGGUUUCUUGUGAACAGCUGUUGCACAAGAGUCAGUCGACCCUAAGCCCUAGGAGAAAUCCUAUGUCGAUGGGUUGCCGAUCGAGCCGCAAAGAUUCAAGUCGAGGCGCCGUAGUGCGACCGAGUCCCAUAAUCUGGCCGGGGGCACCCACCGGGCGAAAGGGAAUCCGGUUCCUAUUCCGGAACCCGGUAGCGGAACCGUUCCAAAGCGGGCCCUCAUUGAGUGCUCGUCGGGGUAACCCAAAGAGACCCGGAGACGCCGUCGGGAGAUCCGGAGAGAGUUUUCUUUUCUCUAUAAGCGUUCGAGUUCCCUGGAAUCCUUUAGCAGGGAGAUAGGGUUUGGAACGCGAAGAGCACCGCAGUUGCGGCGGUGUCCGGAUCUUCCCCUCGGACCUUGA